UAUUUCCGCCCUCUAUUGCCCGUUAUCUCCGCAAGAAAGGUACUCAGUUUCCCGGGUGGCGCUGCGGCACGGGUUCUUAAAUCUCGUUCUCCGCCUACCAGAGUUUGAAAUCAUAGGCGGCAGUGGUCUCUGAUUUAGAUUUGACGUGGUGAUGGUGCUAGAGUCCUUGAUUUCCGGAGUUCUUAACCAAGAUUCGGCUCAUUCUACCCUCACUUGAUACACACCGGUGUUUUGUUUUUUGUCUUUGUUUUGUUUUGUUUUCUUACUACUCUCCCAAGAACUCCUAGUUUCCUAGGUCUAGAUUCCCAGUAUUGCCGUGGUACUGUACCUGCAGCCCUAUCAUCCCAGUCCCACUUUGCUCUUUUCCAUCUAACACUGUGGCCUGUCCUGGGCUGUCCUGCGGGUAUCUCGCAGGAUGAGCAGGAGCCCUAACUGGUCUGAUCAGCUUCAUGCGGUUCUCAGUUCAACUGAUGAAAACAUGGCCCGGAUUAAGCAGAGUUUGUAUCCCCUUCGAGUUUCCUCUACAGGGAACCUGGCUGACACCUGGAUUUCCCCUCAUCACUUGCCUCCUCAGCCAGGGGCCCAAGCUCAACAGCCUUGGGCUCAAAAGACUCCCAUUCCUGGAGAGAGACUGAGCUGCACUGAAGGCCACAGCUCAUCUCUCUGGGAUGAAGUUACCAAACUCCGAUCCCAGCUUCAGUCUCAGGCUCAGGUGACUGAAGCUCUGAGGCAUGCUGUGCAGAGCCUGUUGAAGGAUCGGGAGCAGCAGAUGUUCAAGAUCGGUGCUCUGGAAGCCUCACUAAAACUGCUGCAGGAGGGCCCUAAAGGGAGAGCCCUCCUGGAGCAACGCCUGGAAGGGUUGAGAAAGGAACUGCAGGGCCUCAGGAGUCAGGUUCAAGAGCUAAUCCAAGCCCAGAUGAAAACAAGACCCGGAAAGUUCAGUACUACGAGUGGCUUUCACCAAAAGCUGCAGACUGAGCACCAGCUUUUGUGGGAAGAGUCAGAGAUUCUUCGGGAGGAACUGAAGUUGCUUCGAGACCAGCUGAGCCAACAUCAGGAGUUGCUACUGGAACAGAUGGCCGAGGGGCGCCAGGUUCAGGCCCGCAGCUGGAAGAUGUUGGAGCACCUACAGAAUGACCAGAAGGGCAAGGUUCAUACCUUGGAGGUUACCAGGACAGAGGCCCAUGAUGCCCGCAAGGAGGAGCCCUACCUCCUCAGGACCUCUGUUCAUGCCCAGCAAUCUAAGCUGCCUCUGGCCACCAUCUUCACCAUGUCUCUUUCUUCAUCUAGCUCUGAAGUCAGUCUUCCAGACUGUGACCGUAGCUGGGAACUUUUAAAGAAACUAGAUAGGGAACUCCAGAGCAGCUCCCUUUUUAACCUGGAAUCCAGCAGCCUUCAGUCCCAUGUCCAGAGUCUUAGGCAAGAGGACCUGUUCCUUCAGGGCCCCAGGAUCUUCCAGGGUGACCUAUAAGGACCCGUAAGGAAAUGAGAUGAAGCUCCUGUCCACAGCGGCUUUCUCAUGCCCUCUGGUACACCUCUGACUAGGAGCUCAAGUGACUUGGAAAGAAAUUUCUCUUGAUGAAUGGAAUGGAUUUGCAUGUUGGGCUGAAGCAGCAGUGAUGAGAUUGCAGAGAAGAGUGUGAUAUUCUGGUGGGCAGUAGAUCUCGGCAGUCAUACUGUUUCCUGAGGCUUACUCCAGCUUCUCCACCCCUCCUCAUCCUCCACAGCCCUGUUUGUAUGUUUACAGUAGGCUUCUCAGGUUCUCUGAAAUUCAGUUGUUUUUAAAACAAACCAACAAAAACAAAACCUUUAUUAUUUGUUUUGAGAAAGUGUCUCUGUAUGUAGCCCUGGCUGUCCUGGAACUUGCUAUGUAGACCAGGCUGGCCUUGAACUCACAGAAAUUCUCCUGCUUCUGCCUCCCCGUUCGUAGGAUUAAGGGUAUACACUGCUACACCCAGCCAAAAAGUAUUUUUUGCUGUAACCAUUGUGAGGAAAUAAAGA